GACGAACGCUGGCGGCGUGCUUAACACAUGCAAGUCGAACGGUGAAGCGCCUUCCUUUUUGGUGGGUGUGGAUGAGUGGCGAACGGGUGAGUAACACGUGAGUAACCUGCCCCCUUCUUCUGGAUAACCGCAUGAAAGUGUGGCUAAUACGGGAUAUUCUGGGUCUGUCGCAUGAUGGGUCUGGGAAAGAUAUUGUUUCGGUGGGGGAUGGGCUCGCGGCCUAUCAGCUUGUUGGUGGGGUGAUGGCCUACCAAGGCGGUGACGGGUAGCCGGCCUGAGAGGGUGGACGGUCACACUGGGACUGAGACACGGCCCAGACUCCUACGGGAGGCAGCAGUGGGGAAUAUGGCACAAUGGGCGCAAGCCUGAUGCAGCGACGCCGCGUGAGGGAUGGAGGCCUUCGGGUUGUGAACCUCUUUCGCCAGUGAAGCAGGCCUGCCUCGUUUGUGGGUGGGUUGACGGUAGCUGGAGAAGAAGCGCCGGCUAACUACGUG
rnacentral:rRNA from 1 species